CAGAACGGUUUACACAGUACAGCCCUAAAAACCUUAGACAAGCAUGGAAUAAGCUGAGCUAUGUGAAUCAUGCAGAAGAUCUGGCCUCCAAACUACUCCAAUGUUUCCCAAAGAGCAGAUUGUCGGCGCAGGCAGCCCUGAGCCACGAGUAUUUCAGUGAUCUGCCCCCACGGCUAUGGGAGUUAACUGAUAUGUCUUCUAUUUUUACUGUACCGAAUGUAAGAUUACAGCCAGAGACUGGAGAAAGCAUGAGAGUCUUUGGAAAAAACAAUAGUUAUGGCAAAGGUGUAUCAAACAGCAAACACUGAAGAAUAUCUAUGCUUACAACAGAUGAUGCAGGAUUAAAUUUACCAGUUUGGAGGAGGGAAA